AACAUUCACAGUUUGCACAAAAUCACCCUUACACUUCGAAUUAUACAGAGUGUCCUAGAAAUUGUGAUUUAAUUGGAAAAAGUAUGCUUCUUUUGAACAAAUAAGAUCAAAUUAUAGAAAAAAAUUUGGGGAGACUAAAUUUCCUAUCUUGUUUAACUGAAAACUGUAUCUUUACGUGCAAUACCUUCAGUUUUCAACUUAAUUUUGUUUUAUUUUGUCAUACAUUACCACCCACUUCCUAUUUGUACCACAAUUUUUUAAAUACCUUGUACAGUGAGGGAAAACAAGGUUACAGUCUUUCGCGGCUCAGGAUAUCGCAGUUCAGCCUGUUACACGCUUGGCAGUGUUAUAUUUAACAUUAUUUCGUCGAACAGGUUCCCGAGAAAGAGCUGAGUCCGAAAGAAACAAAGUUACGACGUUUCGUGAACAUUGUAGUUACGCAUUGUGAACCAUGCGCAUGUGUAACAAUGUGAAUUGUGAAUGUUAGGUUAACCCUAACCUCAAACGAUAAUUGUUUAGCAAACAAGCAAAAGCAAGAACGACUAAGACCGUGGACAGGGUAGAAGAAACGCCGAAGGUAAUAAGCAGCAAAGCAAUUAGAAGAAGUAAUGCGGUCGUAAAAGAAGGAAAACGAGAGAAAAUGGGAAAGCAAAAACAAAAGGCAAAAUACGCGAGGUUAUAAUUAAACAGCCAGACGUAUUUCAUGCCAGACAGUAGUAUUAUCGUAUGGAAUGAGCCGAGAUACGUAAACGCAACGCGAAAUCGCAGCACAGAUGAUGCCUCAGAAGCUCCUCAGUCAUGAACCAACCUGUGAAGUGUGCAAAGACCUAUACAGGUCAGGAUAUUUUUGGAAAUAUCUGAAAGGAAACAGAGAACGUUUGCCAAUUCCAUGGAUAGACGCCUUUGAGACCUCUCGCAUGUCGUGACUCGUUAAGCUGAUCAACGAUCGCAAUUUCGAAUCAGUCCUUUAAUCUACCGACUGCUAUUGGUUAUCCAUUACGCGUUUAACGAGGUCGCCGCUGCAAGAAACGAUAUUGCACCGCAAUUUUCGAGGGGAAUCACGAGAAAAGUGCGAACCGUUGUCCAUCUGGAAACCACUGGCGAAGACAAAAUGGAUUCAAAUGGAAGAAAUAGAUGAAAAUAGGUCAAAGGUCCAAAAUGGAAUGGUUGGCUCAAUGGGUAACAUGGUAGGCCACCACGCGGUUGAACAAGGUUCGGAUCCCCUGAUACUAAGAAAAUUUAUUUUCCAAGAUUUUUAAUGGCCAUAUUGUUGAGGAAACUGAUUAGGGGGAAAUAGAGGAAAAAUGUGACGGCAAAUUUACGGAAAAUGGGAGGAAAUAGCAGUUUUCCUAGAAAACGGAGCGGAAAAUAGUCUUCAAAGCUGGGAUAAGGAAAGAAGUUUAAUGGAAAUUAGAAGAAAAAAGGAAAUAGGUUGCGUGAAAAAGGAAGAAAAUAAGUAUUCGAAAAGAAAAAAUGGACAUAUAUUUAUAUACUGAGAAUCAGAAGAAAAUAUUUUUAAGAAUAAGGAAAAUAUAGAGAUAAAGAGGAUAAUGAAAAUGUUGGGAAGGUAGUAAAUAAAACACAAGGUUAAAGGGAAGGGCAUGAAAGAACACACGGACGAAGAGAAAAAUUCCGACCCACAAAAAAUAUUAGUUUUCCAGAAACAAAGUAGAUAUAAUCAACAUUGUUCGAAGCUCCUGUAAAAAAUGGAAUUAGAAAUUCGUAGAAAAAUAUCAGUUAAGGGAGCAAAUACGGAGCUGUUUCACAAAGAAACGAAACAUAAAUAAAAAGUAAGCAGUAAGAUGAAAAAUUCCAAGGAAAAAAUUAUCUUGACAUUUCUAAAAUAAGAUAACACAAGAGGGUAAGUGUAAAGACAAAGAAAAACUUGAACGCGUGAAAAAGUAGGUCUGCGAUAAACGAAAGCGGAGUAAGGAGGAGAAAGGAUGGAACGGGUGGGAUCUCAUUCAAUUAAAUAGGAUGGAGAGAGGAAGGUGAAGAGGGGAAAAGCAUCCCACAGUUCGUUCUCGUGUCAGGAACAGCAGAAAACGAAGGCACACUUGCCCGUGAAUUUAUUUCCCCUAUGAAGAUAGCUAGCAGGCCGGUUCUUGGCUGUCAUCCAACUUCUCUAGGGUCGACCUUCGCACCGAGAACGACCUGAACCCAGGGACGCAUCUAUCGGGGGCGUAACCCAACUUCUCCAAUCGCGCCUAUUUCAUCCCUCGUGCAUUAUUUCUCGACUUUGAAGUUCACGGAGAUAAUCCUGUAUCGGUAUGCCUUACAUUUCUCUAUUUUUACCAACUGCAUAAAUAACUUAAGCAAAAUUUCGUUUGAUAGACGUAGUCAUACAGUGGCUCGUCAAUGUAUCUCGACAUUCAUCA